rnacentral:rRNA from 1 species
CGAGGCAGCAGUGGGGAAUAUUGGACAAUGGGCGAAAGCCUGAUCCAGCCAUGCCGCGUGAUAGAUGAAGGCCCUCUGGGUUGUAAAUAUCUUUUAUCUGGGAAGAAACUCCUCUAUUCUUAGAGGCCUGACGGUACCAGAGGAAUAAGCACCGGCUAACUCCGUGCCAGCAGCCGCGGUAAUACGGAGGGUGCAAGCGUUAUCCGGAUUCACUGGGUUUAAAGGGUGCGUAGGCGGGUUGAUAAGUCAGUGGUGAAAGCUCCGGGCUUAACUUGGAAACUGCCAUUGAUACUGUCCAUCUUGAAUGUCGUAGAGGUAAGCGGAAUGUUGCAUGUAGCGGUGAAAUGCUUAGAUAUGUUACAGAACACCAAUUGCGAAGGCAGCUUACUAUGCGAUAAUUGACGCUGAGGCACGAAAGCGUGGGGAGCAAACAGGAUUAGAAACCCCUGUAGUCCG